AGCGGCGGACGGGUGAGUAACGCAUGGGAACUUACCCAGUAGUGGGGGAUAGCCCGGGGAAACCCGGAUUAAUACCGCAUACGCCCUGAGGGGGAAAGCGGGCUCCGGCUCGCGCUAUUGGAUGGGCCCAUGUCGCGAUUAGUUAAGUUGGUUGGGGUAAUGGCCUACCAAGGCGACGAUCCGUA
rnacentral:rRNA from 1 species